rnacentral:lncRNA from 1 species
UUCAUGUGACUACUGCUUCCCUCGUUGAUGUUAGCACUUCAAUCUUAGUUGAAACCGCUCGUAUUGCUGCUUCUUUAGAAGUUGUGACCACACCUGUUAUUGCUUCUGAAAGUGAUGUUACAACUUCUGUAGCUCCAACUCCUUCAGUACCAGUUAAAUGUAUUGUGUUUCUUUUUUUUUUUCUCUUUAUUUGUGGCUGUUAAUAUUAUCACUUGGCAAUUUU